GUCCGGGGUGGUGGGCGGUGCGCCUCCGGUUCGCUGGUGGUGCACCACGGCGAGCUCGGUGUCGCCGAGGGUCACGACCUCGCCCGGUCC
rnacentral:tRNA from 1 species